rnacentral:misc_RNA from 1 species
UUUCCGUAGGUGAACCUGCGGAAGGAUCAUUAUAAAGAAGGAGGGGUUCUUUCGAAAGAGAGGGCUUCUCGCUCAGGAAGUGUUGAUUUUUUUGUUGAAAGACAAGAAAUGACCACGACUCGAGAUAUCUUUUGUGCACCGUAAACAAACAAAAUUCGCGUUUUAUUAUGUCUGAUGUACUUUUUACAGUUUUCGUGGAUGUGGUCUUGGACCCAUUUGCAAGAAAAGAAAACAUAAAAAAUAACUUUUAACAACGGAUCUCUUGGCUCUC